GUGGGAAAUAAGGAAGAAAGUUUGAAAAUAACAUCAAAACUGCUCUAAACCUCUUGGGUAGUAUCAAGGAAAGAAUCGCGCUGUACUGAAGACCCUCCUGUUUGGGGCCUACUCCAACACCCCACCUCCAUCACACACCAUAAGAAAUAACAAAAGACCAGUCCGAGAUAAAGACUGAGCAAAACUGCAGAAGAAUUUAGGAAUGUUUUUGCUCCUCUAGAAGGAAGCUGACCGCAGCUAAUAAGACGCAGAGGGAAAGCAGACUGCUAUUUUUGAUGAAGAGGCAGGAGUCGUGGAUGUUGGAAAGACCUGAAAAUCCUAAAAACAUGACCAGAGAUGAAUUAAUGCACUUGGCAGAAGGUUAGAUGUUAUAAUAUUUCUCAAUCCAUUUUUUUAUUUUUUAAAAAUGCAACAUAUUCUGUGACUUAUUAAGGAAUAAGAGAUGAAAGACUGUGGAUUAUUUGGUCACCGAAGGCUCCAUUAUAUUGCCUUUUAUAUCAGAUUGCAAUAAUUUUGACCAAAAACUGCACUUGCUUGUGAUAGGGAUAUAAAUAAAAAGCCUGUGAAAAUCAUGCAACUUCUUGAGCAAUCAAGAACACAGUUUAGGAAGCACUG